AUGGUUUUGGUAUCCGCCCCCGUCGGCCCUCGUCCUGUCUAUGAUUCGGAUAUGAUGAACCGGCAAUGGAUGUACGGUGACAGACACACCUCCGAGUACAUUAAGGGCGUGCAUGAUUUUCUCGAAGUGGCUGAGGCAAACAAGCAGAAUGGUUUUAUGUGUUGUCCAUGCCCUACAUGUGGGAAUACGAAGUCUUACUCUGACCGGAAAAUCAUUCACACCCACCUGCUUUACAAGGGUUUCAUGCCACACUAUAAUGUUUCGACGAGGCACAAAGAAAUAGGGGUUAUGAUGAAAGACGGCAAAGAAGAAGAGGACGAUGACAACUAUGUGCCCCCUGAAUACGGUGAUGCUGCAACGGGGGAAGCUACUGAAGAUCAAGAGGAACCAGACGAUGUGCCCAAUGAUGCUGCAACGGGGGAAGCUGCUGAAGAUCAAGAGGAACCAGUGCCCGAUGAUGAUGAUCUCCGCCGGGUCAUUGUCGAUGCAAGGACGCAAUGCGAAAGUCAAAAGGAGAAGCUGAAGUUCGAUCGCAUGUUAGAGGAUCACAAAAAAGGGUUGUACCCCAAUUGCGAAGAUGGCAACACAAAGCUCGGUACCGUACUGGAAUUGUUGCAGUGGAAGGCAGAGAAUGUUGUGCCCGACAAAGGAUUUGAGAAGCUAUUGAAAAUAUGGAAGAAGAAGCUUCCAAAGGAUAACGAAUUGCCCGACAGUACAUACGCAGCAAAGAAGUUCGUAUGCCCUCUAGGAUUGGAGGUGCAGAAGAUACAUGCAUGCCCUAAUGACUGUAUCCUCUACCGCGGUGCGUACAAGGAUCUGAACGCAUGCCCGGUAUGCGGUGCAUUGCGGUAUAAGAUCAGACGAGAUGACCCUGGUGAUGUUGACGGCGAGCCCCCCAGGAAGAGGGUUCCUGCGAAGGUGAUGUGGUAUGCUCCUAUAAUACCACAAUUGAAACGUUUGUUCAGAAACGAAGAGCAUGCCAAGUUGAUGCGAUGGCACAGUGAGGACCGUAAGAAAGACGGGAAGUUGAGAGCACCCGCUGACGGGUCGCGGUGGAGAAAAAUCGAGAGAAAGUACUGGGCUGAGUUUGCAGCUGACCCAAGCAACGUAGGGUUUGGUUUAAGCGCGGAUGGCAUUAAUCCUUUCGGGGAGCAGAGCAGCAAUCACAGCACCUGGCCCAUGACUCUAUGUAUGUAUAACCUUCCUCCUUGGAUGUGCAUGAAGCGGAAGUUCAUUAUGAUGCCAGUUCUCAUCCAAGGCCCUAAGCAACCCGGCAACGACAUUGAUGUGUACCUAAGGCCAUUAGUUGAAGAACUUUUACAGCUGUGGAAUGGAAACGGUGUACGUACGUGGGAUGAGCACAAACAGGAGGAAUUUAACCUGCACGCGUUGCUGUUUGUAACCAUCAGCGAUUGGCCCGCUCUCAGUAACCUUUCAGGACAGACAAACAAGGGAUACCACGCAUGCACGCACUGUUUAGAUGAAACUGAAAGUAUAUACCUGGACAAAUGCAGGAAGAAUGUGUACCUAGGCCAUCGUCGAUUUCUUCCGACCAACCAUCAAUGUCGAAAGAAAGGCAAGCAUUUCAAAGGCGAGGCAGAUCACUGGAAGAAGCCCGCUAUGCGUACCGGUAAUCACGUACUUGCUAUGGUCAAUGAUUUACACGUAAUAUUUGGAAAGGGUCCCGGCGGACUAGCUGUUCCGAAUGACGCUGAGGGACACGCACCCAUAUGGAAGAAGAAAUCUAUAUUUUGGGACCUACCCUACUGGAAAGACCUAGAGGUCCGCUCUUCAAUAGACGUGAUGCACGUGACGAAGAACCUUUGCGUGAACCUGCUAGGCUUCUUGGGCGUGUAUGGGAAGAUAAAAGAUACACCUGAGGCACGGGAGGACCUGCAACGUUUGCAUGAAAAAGACGGCAUGCCUCCAAAGCAGUAUGAAGGUCCUGCCACCUAUGCUCUUACGAAAGAAGAGAAAGAAAUCUUCUUUGAAUGCCUGCUCAGUAUGAAGGUCUUGAUUGGCUUCUCGUCGGACAUAAAGGGAAUAAUAAAUAUGCCAGAGAAAAAGUUCCAGAACCUAAAGUCUCAUGACUGCCACGUGAUUAUGACGCAACUUCUUCCGGUUGCAUUGAGGGGGCUUCUACCGGACCGAUUGGCCAUUGUGAAGCUAUGUGCGUUCCUCAAUGCAAUCUCUCAGAAGGUGAUCGAUCCAGAAAUCAUACCAAGGCUAAGGAGUGAUGUGGCGCAAUGUCUUGUCAGUUUCGAGCUGGUGUUCCCACCAUCCUUCUUCAAUAUCAUGACGCACGUCCUAGUUCAUCUAGUCGACGAUAUUGUCAUUCUGGGACCCGUAUUUCUACACAAUAUGUUCCCCUUUGAGAGGUUCAUGGGAGUCCUAAAGAAAUAUGUCUGUAACCGUGCUAGGCCAGAAGGAAGCAUCUCCAUGGGCCAUCAAACAGAGGAUGUCAUUGGGUUUUGUGUUGACUUCAUUCCUGGCCUUAAGAAGAUAGGUCUCCCUAAAUUGCGGUAUGAGGGGAGACUGACUGGAAAAGGCACGCUAGGAGCGGAAUCAAUAAUAUGCAGGGACGGGCAUUCUUGCUCUCAAGCACACUACACAGUUCUACAGAACUCUACCUUGGUGACCCCGUAUGUCGAUGAACACAAGAACAGUCUGCGCUCCAAACACCCAGAGCAGUGUGACGACUGGAUUACAUGUGAACACAUCAGGACUUUCAGCUGUUGGUUGGAAACACGUCUCAGAGGUGAAACCACUGUUUGUGAUGAGUUGUACUCGUUGUCCAGGGGACCAUCUUCGACUGUAUUGACUUACAAAGGAUACGAGAUAAAUGGGAAUACAUUUUACACGAUCGCCCAUGAUCAAAAGAGCACCAACCAAAAAUGCGGUGUCCGCUUUGAUGCAGCAACCGAGAGGGGAAAGGACACAUAUUAUGGUUACAUAAUGGACAUAGGGAACUUACGGGCAUGA
rnacentral:rRNA from 1 species